ACAAGCUGCGCUGGAACCCAGCUGAUUUUGGCAACAUCACCUCCCUCCGGGUCCCUUCAGAGAUGAUCUGGAUCCCUGACAUUGUCCUUUACAACAAGUAGGAAGACAUGGAGCCCUGGGCAGACCCUUAGGAGGGGCGGUAAAGGGGACUUGGAGGGCUUCGUCGUUUCCGUCUCAGUGCUUAGCAGAGAACCUCCUCCUCUGUAUUCUUUUAUUCCUUUCAUCCUGUUCUCUCCCUCCUACACACCAACGUUUACUGGGCACUGAAGAUGUAUUCAUUUGUAGCACGGUGACAGUGGGACAGAUUUGCCAACUCUGAGUAUCCUUUGGAAAAUGUGGUUCAGGCUCUCUAAAAAUGCCUAGGAGUUGAAAUUUUAAAGGAUGGCAAUACUGUCUGACCAGGUAAGUUGGCAUCCUGUAGUAGCACCUUUGAAGAACAAACUCACUGGGUAUGUUUUUUCUUUAAUCAUGUUAUCUUAUACUUGCCUUGGAUUCAAGACCCAAAGGAUCAACCUCACCCUAACAACUAGAAGCUAACAGAAGCUGGAGGGCGGGGGGGAGUCCACAGAGAAUCCCAGUGGGCAAAAAUCAAUGAAUUAAUAUACGUUUUCAUAGGAGAAAUAGAAAUCUAUAUUUUUAUUAGUAUGUUUGGUAUCAGGCAAUUCUUCAUUGAGAAGUUAAAAAGUUCACAUUUAAAAGAAGGUGUUAUGAUUGUCUAAAACCAUUUUCUAAAACAGGUUGCUGCUUCCUUGAGAUAUGAAUAGCAAUGACAAGGUUCUGUGGUCACGGUUUUGGAUCACACUGUAUGUCUGUCACCCCCUGCCAAGGGCUUUGGAAGCCAGCAGAGCACAAUAGCGUUUUAAAUGCUGUUUUAAGUCCUGCAGCAAAGAAACCAGCUUACCCAGCACUUCCCAAUCCCUCGGACCCUACCUUGGAAAUGAUAUUUUUAAACAAUAAAACAUAGAGAGAGGGUCC
rnacentral:lncRNA from 1 species